rnacentral:tRNA from 1 species
GACCGGGCUGGGGCACGGGGUUCGAUUCCGGCUUCGGACCGGGCUGGGGCACGGGGUUCGAUUCCGGCUUUGGACCCGGCUG